GUGACCAGCGGAGGGAUCAUUACUGAGUUACCGCUCAUCAACCCUUUGUGAACAUACCUUAACUGUUGCUUCGGCGGGUAGGCGUCCCCUAAAAAGGACGUCUCCCGGCCCUCUCCCGUCCGCGGGUGGGGCGCCCGCCGGAGGAUAACCAAACUCUGAUUUAACGACGUUUCUUCUGAGUGACACAAGCAAAUAAUCAAAACUUUUAACAACGGAUCUCUUGGUUCUGGCAUCGAUGAAGAACGCAGCGAAAUGCGAUAAGUAAUGUGAAUUGCAGAAUUCAGUGAAUCAUCGAAUCUUUGAACGCACAUUGCGCCCGCCAGCAUUCUGGCGGGCAUGCCUGUUCGAGCGUCAUUUCAACCCUCAAGCUCUGCUUGGUGUUGGGGCUCUACGGUUGACGUAGGCCCUUAAAGGUAGUGGCGGACCCUCUCGGAGCCUCCUUUGCGUAGUAACAUUUCGUCUCGCAUUGGGAUUCGGAGGGACUCUAGCCGUAAAACCCCCAAUUUUACUAAGGUUGACCUCGGAUCAGGUAGGAAUACCCGCUGAACUUAAGCAUAUCAA
rnacentral:rRNA from 1 species